rnacentral:misc_RNA from 1 species
UACGUAGGGGGCAAGCGUUGUCCGGAAUCAUUGGGCGUAAAGGGCUCGUAGGCGGUCCGGCAAGUCGAUCGUGAAAACUCAGGGCUCAACCCUGAGCUCGCGGUCGAAACUGCCGGACUUGAGGCAGGUAGGGGAGAGUGGAAUUCCUGGUGUAGCGGUGAAAUGCGCAGAUAUCAGGAGGAACACCAGUGGCGAAGGCGGCUCUCUGGGCCUGACCUGACGCUGAGGAGCGAAAGCGUGGGGAGCAAACAGG